GGUGACAUGGUGUUAAUCUUGAACAGACUGCAAACUUCUGAUGUCGUGCCGUUGUUCAAAUUCAAUACAUGGUCUAAUAUGAUCCCCUUUUUGGCAUUCCAUACUGACAUAAUGAUACGAUCCGGCCCGGGUUAAUCGAGUCGUUUCACGUAAUUGCCCGAUCGUCAAUGAGGAAUAGUUGAGUUAUCGGAAAUAGGAUGAAAUAAGGCUAAAGAUG
rnacentral:lncRNA from 1 species